AAGUCGUAACAAGGUUUCCGUAGGUGAACCUGCGGAAGGAUCAUUAAUGAAAUUCAAGGACGCUCUUUUUAGAGGUCCGACCAAUUACAUUUUACCUUUACUCUGUGCACACACUACUCUUUACACCAUUUUUUAACUCUAUAGUUUUAAGAGUGUAAAACAAGUCUCGAAAGAGCAACAUAACAAAACAAAA
rnacentral:misc_RNA from 1 species